UCUUCCAUCCACUGGUUCAUUUUCUAAAUGGCCAAAACCACUGGAGUUGGGCCAAAAGCCAGACCUGGUUUGCUGAUGUGGGUGGCAGGGGCACAAGUACUUGGGCCAUCUUCUGCUUUCCCAGGCAUUUUAGCAGGCAGCUGGAUUGAAAGUGGAGCAGCUGGGUUGUGAACUGGUAUUCAUAUGGGAUGCUGGUGUGGCAGGUGUGGCUUAAUCCACCAUGCCACAAUGCUGGCCAUUUACCUGGUUUCUUAACUGCUGGGCCAAACCUCUGCCUCUAAGUUUAUAUUUUUAAAAGUACUUUAUUGAUGCAUGAGUUUCAUUUAUAAAAGUUCAAAAAUCUUUUUAGAAACUUCUGUUUAGUAGAUGAACACAUGGAUGUGGUCUGAGCAGCCAGAAGACUGAUACUGGGUCAAAUCUGAUGAACAGAAAUAUCCAGAGUUUAGUGUUUCUAAGACUAAAUUUCUAGAAUAUAUAGAACAGAAGGGCUAAGGCCUCAAAGUACAUUGGUUUUAGAGACUUGAAAUAUUCUUCUAAGAACAUUCAAUGGCUAUUGAUUAUUGGCCCAUGGUAACUUAAAUGUCUUUGACUUUGACCGGUGAUUGCUUUAACCUGCCAGAGCCAUUGCAUACAGAGAGUACUUUUUCUGUUUAUUGAGAAAGGAUAUCAAGCCUGGAAUCAAAGGUUAGUGAUUUCAACACAACUCACUUUAUGUUUACAUGUUAAAAAUUUUUUAAAAAAGAUUUAAUUAUUUAUUUGAAAGGCAGAGUUACAAAGAGGCAGAGAGCGAGAGCGAGAGAGAGAAAGGUCUUCCAUACACUGGUUCACUCCCCAAAUGGCCACAAUGGCUGCAGCUGGGCCCAUCUGAAGCCAGGAACCAAGAGCUUCUUCCAGGACUGCAAAGCAGAAUUUGGGAGUAGUGAUUGCUUCGCGGUUUCCGUGGCUGUAGCUGCUGCCCCGUUGUUGGCCCGUGUCACAGCUGUGUGGACUGCGAGGAGCGGCAGUUGAGGGGCUGUGCUUACCCUGGUGCAGCCGGUGCACAUGAUGACCCUGUGGAGUUCCGAGUGGAAGCCGUAACCGCAGGAAACCUUUGGGGCCAGUGCUGUUGCAUAGUGGGUAAAGCCGCUGCCUGCUCUGCUGGCAUCCCAUAUGGGCUCCGGUUCUAGUCCUGGCUGCUCCUCUUCCAAUCCAGCUCUCUGCUGUGGCCUGGGAAAGCAGUGGAAGAUUGUUCAAGUCCUUGGGCCUCAACCCCCACGUGGGAGACCUGGAGGAAGCUCCUGGUUCCUGGUUUCAGAUCGGUGCAGCUCCAUCCAUUGCAGCCAUUUUGGUGAUGAACCAGCGGAUGAAAGACCUCUCUCUCUCUGGUUCUCCUUCUCUCUCUGUGUAACUCUGACUUUCAAGUAAAUAAAUAAAUCUUAAAAAAUAAAAAGACAAAAAUAUACUUUAUAUAGUUAAUACAAAUUAUAUUAUUAUUUUAAUGUUUCAUAUUAUUUGCAUCAUUUUCUGGGUUUUCUUCUCUUCUUAUUUGAAUAAUUCCUUUAAAAAUGUUUUCAAAUGCAUACUUUGUGUUACAAGCAUUCUGAGGUAU